UACAGAGGGUGCGAGCGUUGUUCGGAAUUAUUGGGCGUAAAGGGCGCGUAGGCGGUGCGGUAAGUCACCUGUGAAAUCUCCUGGCUCAACUGGGAGCUUGCAGGCGAAACUGCCGUGCUGGAGUGUGGGAGAGGUGCGUGGAAUUCCCGGUGUAGCGGUGAAAUGCGUAGAUAUCAGGAGGAACACCAAUGGCGAAGGCAGCUCGCUGGGACGGUACUGACGCUGAGACGCGAAAGCGUGGGGAGCAAACAGG
rnacentral:rRNA from 1 species